rnacentral:rRNA from 1 species
UACAGAGGGUGCAAGCGUUGCUCGGAAUCAUUGGGCGUAAAGGGCAGGUAGGUGGUCUGAUUUGUCUGGAGGUGAAAGCCUUGGGCUUAACCCAAGAAGUGCCCCGGAAACGGUCAGACUUUGAGUCUUGGAGAGGGUUGCGGAAUUCCCGGUGUAGCGGUGAAAUGCGUAGAUAUCGGAAGGAACACCAGUGGCGAAAGCGGCUUCCUGGUCCAGCACCGACGUUCAGGCACGAAAGCGUGGGGAGCAAACAGG